rnacentral:tRNA from 1 species
GGCCUGGUGGCGUAAUGGUAGCGCGUCUGACUCCAGAUCAGAAGGCUGGGUGUUCGAGUCACUCCCAGGUCA